rnacentral:rRNA from 1 species
UACGGAGGGUGCAAGCGUUAAUCGGAAUUACUGGGCGUAAAGCGUGCGCAGGCGGUUUUGUAAGUCUGACGUGAAAUCCCCGGGCUCAACCUGGGAACUGCAUUUGUGACUGCAGGGCUGGAGUACGGCAGAGGGGGAUGGAAUUCCGCGUGUAGCAGUGAAAUGCGUAGAUAUGCGGAGGAACACCGAUGGCGAAGGCAGUCCCCUGGGCCUGUACUGACGCUCAUGCACGAAAGCGUGGGGAGCAAACAGG